CUUUCCUAAUAUUGGGCUCAACAACCAAUUCCCCUAUUCACAUCUUGCCGAAUCCAUCCCACACUCCAGCCUUCAUUCAGACCCAAAACGGAACCACGGAAUAGAGCCGUAGAUCUUCUUCUUCUUCCAUGAUAAGUCCUAGUAUCCCACGACCGCAUUAGAUCCCUCCACGUCCACGAACAGAUCUCCCGACCAAGGAAAAGAGCCGUUUGCCCCAGCCUAGCAUUCUUAUCCUCUCCGGAUUCUUCUCAUUUGCGAUGGCUUCCCUCCCAGUCGGAUGAGCAUCCCAGCUCUCUCCGCAUCCAUGC
rnacentral:lncRNA from 1 species